rnacentral:rRNA from 1 species
UACGUAGGGUGCAAGCGUUGUCCGGAAUUAUUGGGCGUAAAGAGCUCGUAGGCGGUUUGUCGCGUCGGCUGUGAAAACCUGGGGCUCAACCCCGGGCCUGCAGCCGAUACGGGCAAACUAGAAUUCGGUAGGGGAGACUGGAAUUCCUGGUGUAGCGGUGAAAUGCGCAGAUAUCAGGAGGAACACCGGUGGCGAAGGCGGGUCUCUGGGUAGUAACUGACGCUGAGGAACGAAAGCGUGGGUAGCGAACAGG